AGUGGGGAAUAUUGGGCAAUGGAGGAAACUCUGACCCAGCGACGCCGCGUGCGGGAUGAAGGCCUUCGGGUUGUAAACCGCUUUCAGUAGGGAAGAAGCGAAAGUGACGGUACCUACAAAAGAAGCACCGGCUAACUAUGUGCCAGCAGCCGCGGUAAUACAUAGGGUGCAAGCGUUGUCCGGAAUUAUUGGGCGUAAAGAGCUCGUAGGUCGUUUGUUACGUCGGAUGUGAAAACCUGAGGCUCAACCUCAGGCCUGCAUUCGAUACGGGCAAACUAGAGUUUGGUAGGGGAGACUGGAAUUCCUGGUGUAGCGGUGGAAUGCGCAGAUAUCAGGAGGAACACCAAUGGCGAAGGCAGGUCUCUGGGCCAAUACUGACACUGAGGAGCGAAAGUCUGGGGAGCGAA
rnacentral:rRNA from 1 species